GUUUUUAUAGUUUAUUCAAAAUAUUGGUCUUGUAAACCAAAGAACGUAUUACGUAAAAACU
rnacentral:tRNA from 1 species